AGAGUUUGAUCCUGGCUCAGGACGAACGCUGGCGGCGUGCUUAACACAUGCAAGUCGAACGGAAAGGCCCUUCGGGGUACUCGAGUGGCGUACGGGUGAGUAACACGUGGGUGAUCUGCCCUGCACUUUGGGAUAAGCCUGGGAAACUGGGUCUAAUACCGAAUAUGACCAUGCGCCUCCUGGUGUGUGGUGGAAAGCUUUUGCGGUGUGGGAUGGGCCCGCGGCCUAUCAGCUUGUUGGUGGGGUAAUGGCCUACCAAGGCGACGACGGGUAGCCGGCCUGAGAGGGUGACCGGCCACACUGGGACUGAGAUACGGCCCAGACUCCUACGGGAGGCAGCAGUGGGGAAUAUUGCACAAUGGGCGCAAGCCUGAUGCAGCGACGCCGCGUGAGGGAUGACGGCCUUCGGGUUGUAAACCUCUUUCAGCACAGACGAAGCGCAAGUGACGGUAUGUGCAGAAGAAGGACCGGCCAACUACGUGCCAGCAGCCGCGGUAAUACGUAGGGUCCGAGCGUUGUCCGGAAUUACUGGGCGUAAAGAGCUCGUAGGUGGUUUGUCGCGUUGUUCGUGAAAACUCACAGCUUAACUGUGGGCGUGCGGGCGAUACGGGCAGACUUGAGUACUGCAGGGGAGACUGGAAUUCCUGGUGUAGCGGUGGAAUGCGCAGAUAUCAGGAGGAACACCGGUGGCGAAGGCGGGUCUCUGGGCAGUAACUGACGCUGAGGAGCGAAAGCGUGGGGAGCGAACAGGAUUAGAUACCCUGGUAGUCCAA
rnacentral:rRNA from 1 species